rnacentral:tRNA from 1 species
UUGGGGCUGGGGCUCAGUGGUAGAGCACUUGCCUGGCAUGUGUGAGGUCCUGGGUUCAAUUUUCAGCACCAAA